AGCAGCCGCGGUAAUUCCAGCUCCAAUAGCGUAUAUUAAAGUUGUUGCAGUUAAAAAGCUCGUAGUUGAAUUUCGGGGUCAGUAGGUUGGUCAUGCCACUGGUAUGUACUGGUCUCACUGAUUCCUCCUUCCUGAUGAGCCGUAAUGCCAUUAAUUUGGUGUUGCGAGGAAUCUGGACUGUUACUUUGAAAAAUUAGAGUGUUUAAAGCAGGCUAACGCUUGAAUACAUUAGCAUGGAAUAAUGAAAUAGGACGUUCGAUCUUAUUUUGUUGGUUUCUAAGAUUGACGUAAUGAUUAAUAGGGAUAGUUGGGGCAUUAGUAUUCAAUUGUCAGAGGUGAAAUUCUUGGAUUUAUUGAAGACUAACUACUGCGAAAGCAUUUGCCAAGGAUGUUUUCAUUAAUCAAGAACGAAAGUUAGGGGAUCGAAGACGAUCAGAUACCGUCGUAGUC
rnacentral:rRNA from 1 species